GACGAACGCUGGCGGUGUGCCUCACACAUGCAAGUCGAGCGGACGAAGAUUGAAGCUUGCUUCAGUCCUAGUUAGCGGCGGACGGGUGAGUAACACGUAGGAAUCUGCCUUCAGGCGGGGGACAACGGAACGAAAGUUGCGCUAAUACCCACUAUGCGAGUAAUCGUAAAGGAGCAAUCACCGGAAGAUGAGCCUGCGUCCGAUUAGCUAGUUGGUAGGGUAAAAGACCUACCAAGGCUACGAUCGGUAGUUGGUCUGAGAGGAUGAUCAGCCACAAUGGAACUGAGACACGGUCCAUACUCCUACGGGAGGCAGCAGUGGGGAAUUUUACGCAAUGGGCGAAAGCCUGACGUAGCGACACCGCGUGAGCGAAGAAGCCUUUUGGGGUGUAAAGCUCUGUCAGCUGGAACGAACACAAUGACGGUACCAGCAGAGGAAGCAUCGGCUAACUACGUG
rnacentral:rRNA from 1 species